AAAACAUGGGCUGGCUUCAAAGUGGAGCAUGGGGAGGCUGAGAACCGUUCUGCUUUGUGAACAAAGUCAGGUGAAAGGCACAGAGAGAACAUGAGAGUGAGGCAGGGAGAGAGUCAGCACUUGCUAAUUUGAAGUUAAUUUUGAAUUGCCUUGAAAAUCACCACGAAGCAUCCAGUUCUGCCUUUGAUGGUCGAAAGAAAGCAGCUGCUUUUAUUCCUCUUCAGGACUUGUUUUCCCCCCAGCAGUGAGGCAAAUUAGGCUGAGCAGCAGUGGAAGUUGCAGUCAGUAUAAUUUCCCAGGAAAAGGUCAGGCUAAUUGUUGGUGAGGAGCUAAUGGAGAUGGGGCACACUAUGGGUGGUGCCGUUUCCCCCAUCUGUUCCAUCCUGCUCCCGGUAAUGGCUCUUUGGCAUCCUCAAAGAGCCAACUCGGCUGGCUUUGUUACAAACUGAGGCCCCUUGCCCUAACCACCAGUGCUCAGCAUGUAGGGGGACACGAGGCAGGGGAGAUAGGUUCUCUUUGUCCACGUAGGGCAACAGGAGCAGCAAAUGUUGACACAUUCAGCAAGAUUCCCUGUGACGCUGCUGUUUAUUUGCAACUUGAGCAGCUCAGGUGAUGGCCCAGGAGGAAAGCCUCGCUUAUUUCGGCUGCCUUCUUUUGGUCAACAACUCAGUUGUAAAAAUCAACAUCAUGGCGGCUUCCUUGAAGGUUAGUGCACACCUAUCUCAUAUGCACCUCGGCAUCAAACAUAAACCGCUAUUUGGGAAGCUGGCCUGUGCUGUUCGCAGCCUUUGUAGAGCUGUUUUGAAUGUGCAACAUGCUGCCGGGAUGUCCCCUGCCCCAGAGAAGGGACAGGGAGGGGAUUGAUCCCGUGAUGGGUGGAAGAUGGAAAAAGUGUCAUUUCAAAAUCCCCAGUGGUUCCUCUCUUGACAGAGGUACAGAAUUUCAUCUGUAGGGCAGACUUGUCCUUAUGCUGUUGAGAUCACCCUUGGGUUCAGGAAGUAAGUUGGCGCCUACUGUUUUGGGAAGCUGAGAAGUAACUGAAUCAGAUAUUUUAGAUGAGCGCGAGGGAGAUUAGCUUGUGACAGAUGUUUAUGCCACAGCUGGGUCAUUCCUUUCUGUUUCCACCUCUUCCUUCCUUUCUUCCUGGCCUUUGACUACGCUUCACUCAGAAUUCAGAUUCUACCCGAUCCUUCCUAGGAAUGAUGUGGCUUUCUUUCCUCCUCCAAAUGGAGGCCUGGCAGAGUCAACUUAGCUCAGACUCGGCCACCUGGAUUCUGUUUAUGGAUUUAUAUGAUCUCUGGCCUUCGCAUAGUGACCACUGGAUGAGUAGACCUGGACCUCUUCCAGGGGUCCACUUGAGCCAAAGUCGGGGAUAUAAUGUGUCUCUGCAUGUUUUAUGAUAGUGCUCUUGACUCUCUUACAUCUGGGCAGGAAUAUGAGCAGAGGUUAUUGGAAAGAGGGUGACAUUGGUAUCUGCUGGGCUGAUAUGAUGGGCAACAGCCCUGGCACCCCGGGCAGGGAAACCUCAGACCUGCACUUGUCCUUAGAGGUCUGGGAUAGUGGAACAUGAAUGAGAUUUUUCUUUCUGAACCAUUCUUGGAGACUUCAUCACAGAAGACACUUCCCUAGUAUGGUUCUCCCAGACCUUUGAGUGCCUUCCAUUAACUGGCUGCUGGGCCUAUCCGUCCCCUGCAGCUGGCUCUGAUGGUGAUUUGGUCCCCAUUUCCCAUGUCCCUUGUCCUGCACUUCCCAAGCAAGGCACCUGUUAACAGGUGUCUGGACAUCUGCCCCACCCCUAUUCUUAGUGUCUUUACCCAAUCACUCCUUGAGGUGGGUGAGUGUCACCUGACGAGGGGUGUGGACUGUCAGAACUGGUUGGAUAGACACCCUGGGGGAGGCUCCAGAAACUAGGGCUGCACUCCAUGCUAUGCCAGCUGAAACUCUGACAGCUCGUCCGGCCACCCCUGAGAGACUCCACUGAAGGCAGCCAACCUAUGCCCCCCACUGAUGUGGCUCCCACUUGGGGGUCCCCAAUAAUUCUAAAUAAUAACCUUCUUUUUAGGGUCACCAUGUGUACCCCUGGGACUCCACUUCUUUUGUGGAAGCCAGACAUUAACUUGUCUCCUGGCCUGAUCCUUAGAAGUCGUCCCAAGAGACCUGCAAGUGCUUAAGCAAGCAGCCCUGGAAGGUGAUCAUAGUUACCCUGGGAGCUUCCCACAGGGGCAACUAUUGCUGUGUACUCUGUGGACCGUUUUCUCUAUAAUGGGAGUCCUCCUACAAGAAAGGGGACUUUGAAUUUGUCCCCAUUUGGCCUUAGGUCCUAGAAGGCAGUCAUGUCAGCCUGGACUCACUGGUCAGUACUGUCACAGUUGAUGGAAUGUCCCGAGUCUUUUUCCUUGCAGGCCAACGNUGGAACAAUGAGGGAAAUCUCGUUACGGGUCUACCGGCCUGGGGCGAGCAGAAACAAAGAUGAGGUUGGAAAUAUUUUUAACAUGUGUGUUUUCUUGGGUCAUUAAAAGAGAAAAACAAGUUCCAACACUGUUUGAAGGAAACCAUCAUCCAAUUUACAAGUACUUAUUGGGUUCUGGCUGUGGCCAGAAGGACUUGGGCGUGGCUUUGGAGCCACUGGGAUGUGGUAAGGUCCCUUUUGUCAGGGACUGACAUCUAAGAAGGGAGAUAGUGCAGAGGAAAGGGGGCCUGGGGACCACGGCCAUGGGGAUCCCAUGCUGCCUCAGUUUCUGUGCUAGGGGGGCUUAUUUAUUCGAGCUCCUGACAAAGAGACAGCAGGCCUGGGAUGCCUUGAACCAAGGGCCUGGGUGGGUGUUGAGGGCAGAAUUCCUAGACAGGGAGCAGUGGGCUCCAUGGAGCCCUGGAGGUGAGAACAGUCUUCCUGCAGAUGACGGACUUGGAAUGGAUCCCAGCGAAACUGCGGGCUUUAAACGAGCAGCAGCGGAAUAAUGGGCCAUCUCAUCCAUGUCUUCAGCAGCCUCUGUUUCUCUGUCCUUCUUGUCUCCCCACCAUUUCCCUCCCCAGCUGGGGAGCACGCAGGAAUGCCUUGCUGUGCCCCGUCAGCGCCCUACCUAGCUGAUGUGUGAUUAUCUCCAGCAAAACACACACCAGAGCCGGUGUCUCUUGGCUGGGAAACACGUUGGCACCUUGGAACUGCUUCUUGGAAAAAGCACACAGUUGGUGUGUGACCUUCUCAUUGAUGCCUCUGGAGGAGGCGGGAGCCACUGCCCAGAGGGAUGCCGGGGUGAAGUGGAAAAACAUGGGCUGGCUUCAAAGUGGAGCAUGGGGAGGCUGAGAACCGUUCUGCUUUGUGAACAAAGUCAGGUGAAAGGCACAGAGAGAACAUGAGAGUGAGGCAGGGAGAGAGUCAGCACUUGCUAAUUUGAAGUUAAUUUUGAAUUGCCUUGAAAAUCACCACGAAGCAUCCAGUUCUGCCUUUGAUGGUCGAAAGAAAGCAGCUGCUUUUAUUCCUCUUCAGGACUUGUUUUCCCCCCAGCAGUGAGGCAAAUUAGGCUGAGCAGCAGUGGAAGUUGCAGUCAGUAUAAUUUCCCAGGAAAAGGUCAGGCUAAUUGUUGGUGAGGAGCUAAUGGAGAUGGGGCACACUAUGGGUGGUGCCGUUUCCCCCAUCUGUUCCAUCCUGCUCCCGGUAAUGGCUCUUUGGCAUCCUCAAAGAGCCAACUCGGCUGGCUUUGUUACAAACUGAGGCCCCUUGCCCUAACCACCAGUGCUCAGCAUGUAGGGGGACACGAGGCAGGGGAGAUAGGUUCUCUUUGUCCACGUAGGGCAACAGGAGCAGCAAAUGUUGACACAUUCAGCAAGAUUCCCUGUGACGCUGCUGUUUAUUUGCAACUUGAGCAGCUCAGGUGAUGGCCCAGGAGGAAAGCCUCGCUUAUUUCGGCUGCCUUCUUUUGGUCAACAACUCAGUUGUAAAAAUCAACAUCAUGGCGGCUUCCUUGAAGGUUAGUGCACACCUAUCUCAUAUGCACCUCGGCAUCAAACAUAAACCGCUAUUUGGGAAGCUGGCCUGUGCUGUUCGCAGCCUUUGUAGAGCUGUUUUGAAUGUGCAACAUGCUGCCGGGAUGUCCCCUGCCCCAGAGAAGGGACAGGGAGGGGAUUGAUCCCGUGAUGGGUGGAAGAUGGAAAAAGUGUCAUUUCAAAAUCCCCAGUGGUUCCUCUCUUGACAGAGGUACAGAAUUUCAUCUGUAGGGCAGACUUGUCCUUAUGCUGUUGAGAUCACCCUUGGGUUCAGGAAGUAAGUUGGCGCCUACUGUUUUGGGAAGCUGAGAAGUAACUGAAUCAGAUAUUUUAGAUGAGCGCGAGGGAGAUUAGCUUGUGACAGAUGUUUAUGCCACAGCUGGGUCAUUCCUUUCUGUUUCCACCUCUUCCUUCCUUUCUUCCUGGCCUUUGACUACGCUUCACUCAGAAUUCAGAUUCUACCCGAUCCUUCCUAGGAAUGAUGUGGCUUUCUUUCCUCCUCCAAAUGGAGGCCUGGCAGAGUCAACUUAGCUCAGACUCGGCCACCUGGAUUCUGUUUAUGGAUUUAUAUGAUCUCUGGCCUUCGCAUAGUGACCACUGGAUGAGUAGACCUGGACCUCUUCCAGGGGUCCACUUGAGCCAAAGUCGGGGAUAUAAUGUGUCUCUGCAUGUUUUAUGAUAGUGCUCUUGACUCUCUUACAUCUGGGCAGGAAUAUGAGCAGAGGUUAUUGGAAAGAGGGUGACAUUGGUAUCUGCUGGGCUGAUAUGAUGGGCAACAGCCCUGGCACCCCGGGCAGGGAAACCUCAGACCUGCACUUGUCCUUAGAGGUCUGGGAUAGUGGAACAUGAAUGAGAUUUUUCUUUCUGAACCAUUCUUGGAGACUUCAUCACAGAAGACACUUCCCUAGUAUGGUUCUCCCAGACCUUUGAGUGCCUUCCAUUAACUGGCUGCUGGGCCUAUCCGUCCCCUGCAGCUGGCUCUGAUGGUGAUUUGGUCCCCAUUUCCCAUGUCCCUUGUCCUGCACUUCCCAAGCAAGGCACCUGUUAACAGGUGUCUGGACAUCUGCCCCACCCCUAUUCUUAGUGUCUUUACCCAAUCACUCCUUGAGGUGGGUGAGUGUCACCUGACGAGGGGUGUGGACUGUCAGAACUGGUUGGAUAGACACCCUGGGGGAGGCUCCAGAAACUAGGGCUGCACUCCAUGCUAUGCCAGCUGAAACUCUGACAGCUCGUCCGGCCACCCCUGAGAGACUCCACUGAAGGCAGCCAACCUAUGCCCCCCACUGAUGUGGCUCCCACUUGGGGGUCCCCAAUAAUUCUAAAUAAUAACCUUCUUUUUAGGGUCACCAUGUGUACCCCUGGGACUCCACUUCUUUUGUGGAAGCCAGACAUUAACUUGUCUCCUGGCCUGAUCCUUAGAAGUCGUCCCAAGAGACCUGCAAGUGCUUAAGCAAGCAGCCCUGGAAGGUGAUCAUAGUUACCCUGGGAGCUUCCCACAGGGGCAACUAUUGCUGUGUACUCUGUGGACCGUUUUCUCUAUAAUGGGAGUCCUCCUACAAGAAAGGGGACUUUGAAUUUGUCCCCAUUUGGCCUUAGGUCCUAGAAGGCAGUCAUGUCAGCCUGGACUCACUGGUCAGUACUGUCACAGUUGAUGGAAUGUCCCGAGUCUUUUUCCUUGCAGGCCAACGUGGAGCCUGUGCAAUCCCUACUUCUCUGCUUGGAUCCCUGCCUGGGUCCAAGUGGAAAAGUGAGUCCAGUGACAGAAGGAGGACUCUACUUUGCUCCUUUAAGAUAGACCCUGAGUGCAUGUGCCUUCCAUUUAGAUGACUGGGCCUAUGACGCUCUGAGGGUGUGGCUGGAGUCCUGUUGGCCGAGGCCUUAAUUAAAUGCUGGAGGAGAAUAACUGAACAGGUUUGGUCCCACCCUCUUUUGGUCAAAUUAGAGUGGCUUAUCAAGUAGAAUUACUCAAAGGGAGACUUUGCCAGAAGCUAAGACUGUAAAAAUGAGGAGUGGAUAUUGUUGGGAGACAAUUCUGCAUGGGUCUUUUGAAUUUCUGCAUGUUUUUGGAGCAGAGGCAUGGACAGCCUUUGUUCCAGAUGAUCUUUUCAAGGAUGUUGUAUUACAAACAACCUUGGCAGAUAGUGUCUCUCAUCAGAGCCAAGGGCAGGCAGGCUUAGUGUUCAUUUGAAAAGAUUUACCUUCCCUACGUGGGGGGGGGGGUCUCUCUCCUGUGAUGCAACCCCCUGUGCAGGUGUCAUCUGGCCCUGAUUGUGUUGUCUUAUGAAAUUUGGGGCUUAGGGAACCAAUACAAGAAAAUGCUGCUACUCUGGCCCUGCUACUUCUAUGAGCAAUGAACUCCUUUGUCUCUGACCCGGGAGCCUUGUAUCUUCUGCCAGAUGAACACCUCUGCUCUGACCCGGGAGCCUUAUAUCUUGCGCCAGCUUCUAUGCAACUGCAGCAAGCUCAUUGUUAGUUUGAAAUAGGAUGAUAUCUCAAAUACCUCACAGGUCCAGGCUGUGUCUGGCUUGGGCCACCCUGAAUGUACUGUGUAUGUGGACAUUAUCUAUUGUGGGCAUCCCAGGAAGAUAAAAACAGAGAACCACAGCCUCAAGUUGUGCUAGCCUGAACUGGGUGGCAUGGGGCAGUCACCAUCUGGCUCUUCCCCUGCUCAGUGCAUGCAGUCAACCCUACAUAAAGCUCUGGAAGGUUGGCUGGAGAGGGCUGGGGGCAGCCUCUGGGGUCCAACCGUGUGAAUUUCUACCACAAUUCUCCACGUGUCAUAGUCUCUGUUUUCCCAUCUGUCAAGCAGGGAUAACAGCAGCACUCGCUUCUGAGUGGUUUUGUGGGGACAAAUAGUUGAGUUGGCACAAACAAGCCCUGAUAAAAGUUGUGAUUAUCAUUUCCUCAAUGACCUCACCGCUCCUACUUUGACUUAUUCUUUGUACGGCUGUCUCCCCCUCUUAACAUCCUGUCUAUAAUCUAAGUUUAUCUCUUCUCCUCUGAAAUUGGCCAAUUUACAUGGCACCCCUCACCACGGUCUCUGAAUGUGCCUGUAAUCUAAUUAGACUAAUUUCAAUUUCCUGGAUUUAAUUACUUUUAAUUCAAUUAAUUUAGAAUGCAGUACACAAGGUGAUUAAUUAGGAAACAUUACUGAGAGAUUCGGAAGGUGAAUUGCAGUGUGUAAGUGUUUAAGUAUCAUUGUGGCCACAGCCACCCAUUGUCACUUUGCACAGGAGACCACCAAGACCCUGGGAAGGGCAGAGUUGGAGAAGCCGGCAGGAAAGGGACUCAAACGGAAGCCUCCUGGCACCAAGCACAGAGCCCUUUCAUCGUGUGGCUUCCAGCAUCUCUCAGGGGAGGCAAAAAGGAGCAGUUGAUUCCAGUUACAAGCAAGUCGGAACUGAGGCAUGAACUGUGGGAGGUGAGGACAAAAUUUGUCUUUCAACAGAGUGAUAUUUCACAGUGUGCUUUUUCUGUACAUGGUAUGUAAGCCAACCUUAGUGCUCCCUCUGAGCUACCAUGCAUAUCCCU
rnacentral:lncRNA from 1 species